GGCACUAUGGCUCAGCUGGCUAAAGCACCUGUUUAGUAAUCAGGAGAUCCUGGGUCUAAGUCCCAGUGGUGCUC
rnacentral:tRNA from 1 species